GGCCAGACUCACCUUCAGAUGAAUGAGGAAGGACCGCUCCUGCUGGAGGGGGCCCAGCAGCGUCUGCUCCACGCUGACCAGCUCCGAGGACUUCGAUGGGAAAACGUGCGGCUUGGUGCAGAUGCAUCCGUCCGCAGGGAUAUCCCGCCCCCACCUGCUUUGAAGGAUGCCUGUCAGUGACCAUUCAUGCCCUGGGUACUGAGGGUGGCAGGCAAUGGGCUGGAUUUGGCCUGUGUCCCAACCGUUGAACAGAAGAGUUGACAGCAUUGGAGUUAGAGUUAGAAUCUCCAGAAGAAA